rnacentral:lncRNA from 10 species
ACAAUAAUUAGUACUCUGAACUGUUUAAAAUUAAGACUUCUUCCUACAACUGAAUCUUAGGUAAAGAUGGACACCUGCAUGAGGGAAGGAAUAUGUGAGCAGCUUCCAUUUCCCUUCCAUGGUCUUCUCAGCUUCCUCCAACAGUAGAUUGUUCAGCCUCCCUAAAGCAGGAGAAGAGGAAGGGGAAGAAAGGUGUUUUUCCGGGUUUCUAAGCAAAUACCUUGCUGCAGAUCUUCAACUGCAGGGGAGGGCAUGUUGCCAGAACAUCCUGUUUACAGAGGCCACUUAAAAUCCUUACGUUAACCCUAGGCAUACUGUGGUCAUCCUUUU